CGGGGUGAGUAACGCGUGGAUAACCUGCCUUACACUGGGGGAUAACACUUAGAAAUAGGUGCUAAUACCGCAUAAGCGCACAGAGCCGCAUGGCUCAGUGUGAAAAACUUCGGUGGUGUAAGAUGGAUCCGCGUCUGAUUAGCUGGUUGGCGGGGUAGAAGCCCACCAAGGCGACGAUCAGUAGCCGGCCUGAGAGGGUGAACGGCCACAUUGGGACUGAGACACGGCCCAAACUCCUACGGGAGGCAGCAG
rnacentral:rRNA from 1 species